AUUGAACGCUGGCGGCAGGCCUAACACAUGCAAGUCGAACGGCAGCACAGAAGAGCUUGCUCUUUGGGUGGCGAGUGGCGGACGGGUGAGUAAUGUCUGGGAAACUGCCCGAUGGAGGGGGAUAACUACUGGAAACGGUAGCUAAUACCGCAUAACGUCGCAAGACCAAAGUGGGGGACCUUCGGGCCUCACACCAUCGGAUGUGCCCAGAUGGGAUUAGCUAGUAGGUGGGGUAAUGGCUCACCUAGGCGACGAUCCCUAGCUGGUCUGAGAGGAUGACCAGCCACACUGGAACUGAGACACGGUCCAGACUCCUACGGGAGGCAGCAGUGGGGAAUAUUGCACAAUGGGCGCAAGCCUGAUGCAGCCAUGCCGCGUGUAUGAAGAAGGCCUUCGGGUUGUAAAGUACUUUCAGCGGGGAGGAAGGCGGUGAGGUUAAUAACCUUGCCGAUUGACGUUACCCGCGGAAGAAGCACCGGCUAACUCCGUGCCAGCCGCCGCCGUAA
rnacentral:rRNA from 1 species